GCGUGUGGGAAGAAGGCCUUCGGGUUGUAAACCACUUUUGUCAGGGAAGAAACGGUCUGGUCUAAUAAACCGGACUAAUGACGGUACCUGAAGAAUAAGCACCGGCUAACUACGUGCCAGCAGCCGCGGUAAUACGUAGGGUGCAAGCGUUAAUCGGAAUUACUGGGCGUAAAGCGUGCGCAGGCGGCUUUGCAAGACAGAUGUGAAAUCCCCGGGCUCAACCUGGGAACUGCAUUUGUGACUGCAAGGCUAGAGUACGGCAGAGGGGGAUGGAAUUCCGCGUGUAGCAGUGAAAUGCGU
rnacentral:rRNA from 1 species